rnacentral:tRNA from 3 species
CCUCCAGUAGCUCAGCCGGAUAGAGCAUCGGUUUUCUAAACCGAGAGUCGUAGGUUCAAGUCCUACCUGGGGGG